rnacentral:rRNA from 1 species
GACAGAGGGUGCAAACGUUGUUCGGAAUUACUGGGCGUAAAGCGUGUGUAGGCGGUCCACUAAGUCGGGUGUGAAAGCCCUGGGCUCAACCCAGGAAGUGCACUCGAAACUGGCGGGCUAGAGUAGUCGGAGAGGUUGGUGGAAUUCGUACGGUGUAUGAGGUGAAAUUCGUAGAUAUCGAGAGGAACACCGGUGGCGAAGGCGGCCAACUGGACGAAUACUGGACGCUGAGACACGAAAGCGUGGGGAGCAAACAGGA